rnacentral:ncRNA from 1 species
UCGAACCAUUAAAAAACCAGCGGUAAAUUUGAUUUUACUAGGUGGUUAAGAGGUGGCCCGAGAGGGCUGACGAGACGAACCAAAACCUAGGUCGCGGGCCGCGUUACCCUGUAGCUACCCUGUAGCUACCUGGGCGCGGGGCCCCGGCCGACACCGCUAAAUUGCGGGGACCUCCUAAUCGUGGUCGCAGGCUACCGCGGCGCGCCGAAAGGCGCGGCCGCACCGAGGAUAGCGACCUCGGGUAUGGUAAUAACGCCUGCGGCUUGGAAGACCUGCAGCCAACCCCGCCUUUAGGGGAGAGUUCACAGACUAGACAGCGGUGGGUCGGUGCGAGUGCGAACGGGCUCUGCCCUGUAGCUACCCUGCACCGGCCUAAGACAUAGUCGAUCCCGGCCCCGAAAGGGCGCCAU